rnacentral:lncRNA from 1 species
AAUUUAUAUGCCCUUAAUUAAAGUUAUUAAAUGAAGGAUUUUGUCUAUUAAUAAUUUAAUAGCAAAAAUAUCCAUAGAAAUUCCGGCAGUGGUGAAGCGAGAAAAUCUGCCAUGCAAAAUUAUCAAAAAUUUAAUAAUAAUUAAUCUAUUAUUACAGUAAAGUAGAGUAACGUUGUAAAGAGUACUUUAUUAAAUAUCAUAAACUUCACUGCUUCUCUACACUAAAUAUAAAUGUCCUGAACUUGCCGAGAUGAUGAAUGGCGGAGGGACAGAAGUCGUGAACGGUGCCUGUCCAGAGCUUGGUCAAACUCUUGCGCAGAUGGAGGAUACUUCCAGGACCUUGUGUAGGUAUGCACACAUCGACAUCAUCUACCUGCCAGUAUCAUGCCUCACAUGGAUGAUAAAAUACUUAACAAUUCAAAAAAUCAAAAAAAGUUAUCGGGCCCUCUAUCUAAGAGAGCUCGCACCGAUGCCAAAGCAGGGAAUA